AUCUAUAUAGUAUAUUAGUAUUAUAGAUUUCCAAUCUAAAGGUCUUUAUUUAAAGUAUAGAUA
rnacentral:tRNA from 1 species